UACAGAGGGGGCAAGCGUUAUUCGGAAUUAUUGGGCGUAAAGGGCGCGUAGGCGGCUUGGCAAGUGGAAGGUGAAAUCCCUCGGCUCGACUGAGGAACUGCCCUCCAAACUGCUUUGCUUGAGGCCGGGAGAGGUAAGUGGAAUUCCCAGUGUAGCGGUGAAAUGCGUAGAUAUUGGGAGGAACACCAGUGGCGAAGGCGGCUUACUGGACCGGUUCUGACGCUGAGGCGCGAAAGCGUGGGGAGCAAACGGG
rnacentral:rRNA from 1 species